UUUCCGCUCUAGGACCUCGCAGCUCUCUGGCCUUAACCCUUGCGCUGCGCCUCGAUCAGUCAGGCACAGAUGAUGCGGACUACAGAACACAUGAACCACCCGGUCUCACUUGGCGUUGGCCCUUUCUCGAGCCCCGAGACGCUCCUUUGUGGCCCAUCAUCCACUCCCCGCUCCCAACGCCGCUGGGAUUGGGGCGCAAAGGCGCGUCU